rnacentral:miRNA from 1 species
AGGGCUGGGUGGCGGACUAAUAAAGAACAUCUUCUGUGACUGGGGUGCUUCAAGAAGAUUGCUGCGUCUCAUCCCGUCUGAGUCUGUUUGGAUAGGUGUGUUUUCGCCAAAGUACACCCGUGCCCGGCCUUUUCCCUGUAGCGGCUCCCUGUCCAGCAGCUGGCGG